rnacentral:rRNA from 1 species
UACGUAGGGUGCAAGCGUUGUCCGGAAUUAUUGGGCGUAAAGAGCUCGUAGGCGGUUUGUCGCGUCUGCCGUGAAAGUCCGGGGCUCAACUCCGGAUCUGCGGUGGGUACGGGCAGACUAGAGUGAUGUAGGGGAGACUGGAAUUCCUGGUGUAGCGGUGAAAUGCGCAGAUAUCAGGAGGAACACCGAUGGCGAAGGCAGGUCGUCUGGGCAUUAACUGACGCUGAGGAGCGAAAGCAUGGGGAGCGAACAGG